rnacentral:rRNA from 1 species
GACGAACGCUGGCGGCGUGCUUAACACAUGCAAGUCGAACGGAAAGGCCCUGCUUGCCGGGUACUCGAGUGGCGAACGGGUGAGUAACACGUGGGUUAUCUGCCCUGCACUUCGGGAUAAGCCUGGGAAACUGGGUCUAAUACCGGAUAGGAGCCAUUUUUAGUGUGAUGGUUGGAAAGUUUUUUCGGUGUAGGAUGAGCUCGCGGCCUAUCAGCUUGUUGGGGGGGUAAUGGCCUACCAAGGCGGCGACGGGUAGCCGGCCUGAGAGGGUGGACAGCCACAUUGGGACUGAGAUACGGCCCGGACUCCUACGGGAGGCAGCAGUGGGGAAUAUUGCACAAGGGGCGCAAGCCUGAUGCAGCGACGCCGCGUGGGGGAUGACGGCCUUCGGGUUGUAAACUCCUUUCGCUAGGGACGAAGCUUUUUGUGACGGUACCUAGAUAAGAAGCACCGGCUAACUACGUG